rnacentral:lncRNA from 1 species
GGUGCCGCGGCCUACCACCCAGGUGCCGCAGCCAACCCCGUAGGUGCCGCAGCCUACCCCUCGAGAGCCACGG